AAUAAUAUUUCCUUUCUUUCUGUCUUACAGGAUUGUUUGCAGAUAAUGCUGUUCUUCUUUUUCAGGUCUACAAUUUUGAGCUCAACAGCUCUUUUAAGAGCCAACCCUCACAAACCUUCCUAAAAACUAAAAGAGCUAUUACUGAGACUCAGUGGAUCUUGCCAUGAUCAGCUCUUCCCAGAAGAGAAGGAAGACCAAGGAAAUUAUUUGCUCAGGAUGAGGAAUGAAGAUGGCCAUCUUGUGCUCAAACAAACAGAAGUCCACUGAUGAUGUCAUCAGCCAAAUGAGGGGUUUUGACCAAGUGAUGCUCUUGAAAGGAGUGAAAGAAGAGGAUGUGGAAAAUUGUCUUCAGAGAAAAAGCUUCUCAAAAGGUCUUAAAACAGCUUGAAGAAUGGUCAGGGAUCUUAGGACUGAGAGAUCCUCUGCCUGAGAAAAAGCUACACCACAUCAGUGCUGGAUAUCAGCCACAAACUGUUUCCAGACACGAGAGAAGAAGAUCAUGAUGGGGAGAUGAAACCAGUUUAGAUGUGAUGAUAAGGAAUCAUUAUUUUCUGAAACAGUAUCACAUGUCUUAUAUGUAUCACAUGAUCUGUAUCACAGUUGACUGGAUGGGACUGUGUGACUUUUAAGGACAUUUCAUCACUCAUCUGUGUGAACUGAUUAAUAUAUGAGGUUAAUGU